CCUACGGGAGGCAGCAGUGAGGAAUAUUGGUCAAUGGACGAGAGUCUGAACCAGCCAAGUAGCGUGAAGGAUGACUGCCCUAUGGGUUGUAAACUUCUUUUAUAAAGGAAUAAAACGAGGCACGUGUGCCUUUUUGCAUGUACUUUAUGAAUAAGGAUCGGCUAACUCCGUGCCAGCAGCCGCGUUAAUACGGAGGAUCCGAGCGUUAUCCGGAUUUAUUGGGUUUAAAGGGAGCGUAGAUGGGUUGUUAAGUCAGUUGUGAAAGUUUGCGGCUCAACCGUAAAAUUGCAAUUGAUACUGGCAGUCGUGAGUACAGUUGAGGUAGGCGGAAUGCGUGGUGUAGCGGUGAAAUGCUUAGAUAUCACGAAGAACCCCGAUUGCGAAGGCAGCUUACUAAACUGUGUCUGACAUUGAUGCUCGAAAGUGUGGGUAUCAAACAGGAUUAGAUACCCUAGUAGUC
rnacentral:rRNA from 1 species